rnacentral:RNase_P_RNA from 1 species
UCAAGGAAAGUGCCACAGAAAGAUACCGCCCGGCCGGAGGUUGCUUCCGGCCGGGUAAGGGUGAAAUGGUGCGGUAAGAGCGCACCAGCGGUCAGGCGACUGGCCGGCUAGGUAAACCCCACCCGGAGCAAGACCAAAUAGGGGAGAGUUGACGUGGCCCGCCGAUCUCCCGGGUUAGGUCGCUAGAGGUGCUAGGCAACUAGCAUCCCAGAGAGAUGACUAUCGCCCGUUUUCGGGAACAGAACUCGGCUUACAGACCUGCUUUAUAU